rnacentral:rRNA from 1 species
AGAGUUUGAUCAUGGCUCAGAGUGAACGCUGGCGGCGUGCUUAACACAUGCAAGUCGAACGAGAACGGAAUAUAGCUUGCUAUAUUUGUCAGCUAAGUGGCGCACGGGUGAGUAAUGUAUAGAUAACCUGCCCUUAAGAAAGGAAUAACAGUUGGAAACGACUGCUAAUGCCCUAUAUGCCUUUAAUACAUAAGUAUGCAAGGGAAACGCUUUAGUGCUUAAGGAUGGGUCUGUAUGGUAUCGGCUUGUUGGUGAGGUAAUGGCUCACCAAGGCUAUGACGCCUAACUGGUUUGAGAGGAUGAUCAGUCACACUGGAACUGAGACACGGUCCAGACUCCUACGGGAGGCAGCAGUGGGGAAUAUUGCACAAUGGACGAAAGUCUGAUGCAGCAACGCCGCGUGGAGGAUGACACAUUUCGGUGCGUAAACUCCUUUUAUAUAGGAAGAUAAUGACGGUACUAUAUGAAUAAGCACCGGCUAACUCCGUGCCAGCAGCCGCGGUAAUACGGAGGGUGCGGGCGUUACUCGGAAUCACUGGGCGUAAAGAGCGUGUAGGCGGGUAUAUAAGUCAGAAGUGAAAUCCAAUAGCUUAACUAUUGAACUGCUUUUGAAACUGUGUAUCUAGAAUGUGGGAGAGGUAGAUGGAAUUUCUGGUGUAGGGGUAAAAUCCGUAGAGAUCAGAAGGAAUACCGAUUGCGAAGGCGAUCUACUGGAACAUUAUUGACGCUGAGACGCGAAAGCGUGGGGAGCAAACAGGAUUAGAUACCCUGGUAGUCCACGCCCUAAACGAUGCACACUA